GGAGCUUAUUAUUAGCUGGAAACUCUAUUUUUGCUAUCGAGUGCGCUUGUCAAAUCCAGGCUUGUUGUCAGAGGGCAGUGAAGAAAUGAUAUUCCCUGAGAAGCUGUCCUCCUUAUGACCGUUCAAUAGUAUCCCUAAAUGAAGAUUUAAUGUAUUUUGAAUGGAAAACAGAAUCUGUGUUGCAUCCAUUUUCAAUCAGGGAAAACAAAAGCAUAAGCAGCACCGAGCCUUCUCUCCAUGGAUACAUUUCUGCAGAGCAGCAGGACUUUGGCAGCAGAGCUCACUUCAUAAAGCAAACCAUUUUCGUAAGCUAUGGGAAGGCUCCAGCCAGGAGAAUAACCAUAUGGGAACAUGGAAAUCUCCACUGCAUUGGUGCCAGAAGACAAGUUUAUGUUCAUUCCAAAUGGCGUCAAGGAAUGUUUGUCAGCUUUCCCUUUACUUCCCUUCCUGUGACUUAAAUCUACAGUGUUGUCUAAAGCACACAAGGAAGGGAAAAGCCUGGCUGGUGACAAAAAAGAAACUCUCGAUACUACUAGAAUUCAGAUGAUCAAUGAAUUUUACUUUCAAGUACGGAUUCCACUGAGUGUUUUCUUCUCCCUUUGUGAGCUAUCAAGUACUGCUCAAGGACCAACUCUCCUUCUGACCGAUCUCAGUACUUUUCUCUGUUUCCUCUUGUGACAGGUUUCUUUCCCCCACCUGCACAGAGGCAUUAUUCUCAGUAGGAGGUAAAGUCGUUUAGCUGAAAUUUCUGUGUUAGCAUUCUGUUGUUCCCGUUAGGUAAAUGCCUCACUGGUUGCACUGUCUUCAUAGCUCUAGUGAUGAUCGCAGGUGUUACGAAAGUACUGUGUAGACAUUGCAGGAAAGACAAUCAGCUUCAACACAGCUUGACCCAUACUGAUGCAGAGAUGCUGACUUGACCUGGGGAGGUGUAGUUACUUCAUGUUGGUUGUGGUAGGAUUGCUUGUCAUAAAAUGAAAGCUUAAAGAAAAUGAUUGUGUCAUCGUGGGUAGAGUGGUAAUUAGAAAAAAUAAUAAUCAAAGGGCCCAGCUGUACUUCAGUAAAAGUUAAUAGCAAAGCACUAAUUGCUUUCUAAAGGACUCAGAGAGAGUGAUAUAUACUUAUUUUUAUAAAUAGCUCUUUGAAAAUACAUGUGAACUUGUAUCAGACACAGGCUUGACCUAUAAGUCUGGCCUAAAGGAACUUGGUAUGCAGAAUUUAUUUUCACACAGCGAAAUCCAUUUUACUCACAAUAAGUUCAAAUAACUAUGUUUCUUUGAGGGAGUUGCAAGCAACACCUGCCAUCCUUGCUCAGCGACAUAAGGCCAGGAAUGCAGAUUGGUCUGAGCAUGGCUGAAGACUCCAUGGCUGUAAAAGCUUCACAGUGCAGGUUCCCCUGCAAGCCUAUGCAAAGUGACUGCUGAAACCCUUUGGGCUGAUGUUGCGCUCUGGACGGUGAUGGAUUUGAGACAUACCUGCAAAUAGAAACUUGCCAAAUUUUCAACAAAUUUAUUGGAGUCACUCAGACAGUGACUUCUGUCACUUAUUAGCUUCCUAAAGCUGAGCUUUCUUGUAAUCUAAAGCUUAAUUUGUCCUGCUCACCAGCUCUAUGGAACUUCUACGACUGUCUUACAAAAGAAGAGUUGAUGUUCCUAAAUCCAUUUAAAGAGUCAGUUGUUUUCCUAUUGCUUCACAAGUUCUUGCAUCUUGUUCCUGCUAUUUUUGUCUUUCUGGAGUCAGUUCUCCAACUCCCACUCACUUGCAUAUUUUCCAGUGUGUCAUUGCUUAUUUGCCAGAUGGGAGACACAGCUAGUCCUUAUGGUCCAGUGACACUGAGUAUCAUUGAAGUCUACACAAUUAAACGCUUCUGUAAAUAAAUGCUCUUCUCUCCUCUGGCCUUCA
rnacentral:lncRNA from 1 species